rnacentral:pre_miRNA from 1 species
GUAAGUAACCAGUUUAUCAGAGAAAUUCUGUGGUCUUGAUUGUAAAUGAUAUUAUACUGGCCCACAAAAUUUCUUUUAUUAAACGUUUGAACUUCA